GAAUCCCCACCCAGCUCUCUCACGCUUUGCCUUCAACAUUACGAGAUGACCGGAAUCUGACAUGGAGCACACCCAGAAUGAGCAGUGUGACCCGGAGCAAUGCCACCCCAGGAAAAUGGGAUGUCACAGCUGGAAUGAACCUUACAAUGGUUUAGUCCAACUUCCUCCUUAUAAAACGAAUAUAUGCCAAAGGUUUGGGUUUUCUGAGAUGCAAAUACAUGUUGCGGUAGCGGCAGAACUGAAUACUCCCUGGAAUUGGGGUUCAGGUCUAGACAUCUGGGAAUGGAAGAAAACUGGUCACCUGCCCAGCCUUGCCCUUCCUGUGAAUGAUCCUGCUUAUGUGUGUCCUGUUGGGUUAACGGUCCCUGGCCCCACCACCCUUGUGGAGAUAACACCCCAGGGCUGCCUCAUCUGAUUUUAUUUUUCCCAAGG